rnacentral:lncRNA from 7 species
CUUGCAAGGCCCAGCGUGGUGUGGCUCACCAGCGCCCGUGAUGGGCGCAGACGGCUAGAGGUGGAGUGGACCUCUCCUCCGUCCUCAGCCUACUUUGCUCGUGUCACAAUCCAUGGCUGCCUUGGAUCAUCACCCCCAAUAUCCAUGGCUGCCUUGGAUUCCCGUCCUUUGUCUUCUUUGACGCAAGCACGCUACGAAGGGAGCAGAGGAGCGAUGUGUGGAUGCCGAACCGACGAGGGAGCGAGCGAACGGAGACGAUGUGGGAGCGAACAGUGGAUAGAGAGCUUUCAUGUGUCCGCUACAUUUGGCGGAUGAUGAAUGCACCCUACAAUUUAACGGGCGUUGUAUAGGUUCUUGUUGGAGGCGUACCGGACAACUUUGUUUGCUACAUUUAGCGGAGAGGACCUUUUACAGAGUCUUGUUAGAGACAGUCUAACAACUGAAAGCGAUCGGAGCAAUCCAUUUUCCUUAUGAACGGAUUAUAUCUAGUGCUACAAAAUGAACAUCGAUAGAUAGUAAACUUUGGAACAUAUGUUGUUUGUUGCAGUGCUACUGUGCUACACAUUGGUGAACCAAAUAUCCUCAUGUGUUAUCAUGACAUCUUAAGUUGCAAUCCCUGGCGGAACUCAACUAAAUAUGUGUUUCUAGUAUAUAGCCAUCUCUUCAAGCAAGCUAU